AGGUAGGUCCAGUCCCCUCCUCCCAGGCCAAGCCAAGCGAUCCUGCAUAGGCCCCAGGUUUCAAACAGCCAACUCAUACAAUGAGCACAGGACCCAGUCCCACUGCCUGGAUGCCUCCCAAACAAAUCAGGCCAAUCAACUGUCUCACCCAUUCAGAGGGCCUGAUCCAGUUGGGGACCCCUCAGCCAUUGGUUCAUAGUACAUGUGUUUUCAUUCGUUUGGCUAUUUGUCCCUGUGCUUUAUCCAACCUUGGUCUCAACAAUUCUCGCUCAUAUAAGCCCUCCUCAUUCUUGCUAAUUGGACUCCCAGAGAUCCACCCAGGGCCUAGUCAUGGAUCUCUGCAUCCAGAUCCCUCAGUAGUUGGAUGAGGUUUCUAGCACGACAAUUAGGGUGUUUGGCCAUCCCUUCACCAGAAUAGGUCAGUUCGGGCUGUCUCUCGACCAUUGCCAGCAGUCUGUUGUGUGGGUAUCUUUGUGGAUUUCUGUGGGCCUCUCUAGCACUUUGCUUCUUCCUAUUCUCAUGUGGUCUUCCAUUACCAUGGUCUCCUAUUCCUUGUUCUCCCUCUCUGUUGUUGAUCCAGCUGGGAUCUCCCACUCCCCCAAGCUCUCUUUCCCUCGACCCUCGCCUUUCACUACCCCCACUCAUGUCCAGGCUGUUCAUGUAGAUCUCAUUCCAUUUCUCUGUCAUUGGGCGAUCCCCAUGUCUUUCUUGGGGUCCUGUUUUCCAAGUAGCCUCCCUGGUGAUGUAAGUAGCAGACAAGUCAUCCUUGUUCCACAUCUAGUAUCUUGCUAUGAUUCAGAUGCAAGUAAAUGAUUAAGAAAAUUUUAAAGAGUCAGAAUAAAUCCAAAGUAUUAUGAGAAUAGUGGCAAUAGAAUAGUUCAUUAAUUUUGAUUUUUCUUCUGUCCUAUAUCAGGUGACUCUUCUGACAUGAUAGAGAUAUUUUGUAUUUUCUUCUAACAAGCAUGCUUGAGUUUAGAGGAGAAAGUCAUGCUCCAACUCCAAAGCCAGCUUUAAUUUUUAAUUGAACUGAGACUACAUGAAGACCAUUUGCAUUAUGUGUCUGUAGAGAACAUCAGAAAAAAACAUUUAGGAAGACUUAUGAAAUUGUUUCCUGUUAGAUAUGUGAUAUACCAAUAGGCCAAUUUACUCUUUUUCUUGGAACAUUUUUUUUUCUGGAAGAUUUGUCCUUUUUCUUCAGAUGUCUCAUUUGUCCAUGUUCUUCUGAUUCCUUAGCCUUCAUUCUCCUGAAAGACAAAAACAAAUCCCUUCCCCAACCUGAACUUUGUAGAGGUUCCCUUUGGGCAAGUUAUAGCUGAUUAAAUGAAAAGCAUUUGUUAGUGGUAUAAGUUAGUUUAAAUUGAAUGGUCAUGCUGGUUCAUGAACUAACUCCUCUUCUAAUUAAGAGGUAUCUCCUGUUCAAAUUGUACCUUUACUAAUUUUUGUGGUAUCCACAGCUUUUCUUCUCCUGUAGAAACAAAAGCAAAACCUCAUCCCCAACAUAAUACAUAUCCUGGUUUCCAUUCUGAAGUCAGCAAAUCUUUAAAGUACAUAGGCUGAUUUAAUUCUGUAGUUUUUUUUCUGUUAUUCAAUGUCUCUCCACAGCCAUUGUUUCUUUCUCAUUAGCAUUGAGGAAAUUCAUAGUUAAUAGAGCAUUAUGUAAUCUAUUUCUGGGGGUUUUUGUUACCCCUUUCUGUUUAUUUAGCACAUCCUUUAGAAUUCAAUCUGAUCUUUCUAUGACUGCCUGGCCUGUAGGAUUGUAUGGUAUACCUGUAAUAUGCUUUAUACUGUAAUAAGAAAAAUACUGUUUCAUUUUACCAGAGACACAUGCUGGAGCAUUGUCAUUUUUAAUUUGUACAGGUAUACACAUGAUGGCCAUAACUUCUAGCAAAGGUGUGAUUACAGAAUCAGCUUUCUAGGAAAUCAGAGCAGUUGCCCAUUUAAGUCCUGAAUAGAUAUCAAUGGUGUGGUAUACAUAUUUCAGUUUUCCAAAUUCUAUAAAAUGAAACACAUCCACUUGCCAUAUUUCAUUCCUCUGAGUAUCCUUCCGGUUACAUCCUGCUGGUUUAAUUGUAAAAAGAAUAAGUAGGACAUUUUCUUAUAAUUUCCUUAGCUUGUUGCCAGGUUAUGGAAAAAUCCUUUUUAAAACCCUUACUAUUAAGAUGAUAUUUUUUUUUAAUUCUGAGGCCUCUAGAACUUUUCCUAUCAAUAGUUUAUCAAUCUUAUCAUUAUCUUGUACUAGAGGGCCUGGCAGACCCAUAUGGGAUCAGAUGUAAGUUAUUGUUUUGAUAUAUCUUUCUGUAUGCUGUGAAUAUAUGUUGUUCCCAUUGUUUAAUAAAUAAGCUGCUUUUGCCUAUGGCAAGGCCACUUAAACUCAGGUGGGAAAUCCAAGGAGAGAGACAAGAAAGAGAAAGGUGGAGUCUGGGGGGAUGCCAGCUGCCAUUAGGAAAAAGAAAAUAUGAAGGUACUGGUAAGCCAUGGCCACAUGGCAAUUUGAUGAAUUGAAAUGGAUUAAGUUAUAAGAGCUAGCUGCAAGAAGCCUUUCAUAGGCUAUGCAAUUGGUAAUUAAUAUUAAACAUCUGAAUGAUUAUUUUAUAAGUGGCUGAGGUGCCUUGGGGCUGGGCAGGACUGGAGAAACAUGGGACCAUGUGGCAGGCUGGGACCAGAGAAACCUUCCAACUACAUUUGGAGCCCAGAUGUGGUACUAACAAUUUCUACCUAAAACCUGAGAAAGCUUUAAAAAAUUCUAAAAUGAAACUAAAAAUAGCUUUCUAGUUCUGUCUCUCAGGCAAGCUGUGGUAUGCGGGCUUGAGCUACAAUAUGGCAGGUUUUCAGCCUUUGGGCUUGACCUACAGCAUGGCUGAUUCCUGCCAUGGUACACAGAGGUAUCUCCAAGUCAUGCAGAGCACUGAAUGGUGGAUUUAGCCUUUAUUCAUACAGAUAAAAACAGGUUUAUGGGCCAGCUGCACACAACCUGGUGGCAGCAUGGACCCCAGAAUUGGCAGGGUAAGCAUGUCGCUCCUGGGUACCUCCAUCAUGUUGGUAAGCUGAGGUAGGCAAAGUCAGUAGCCAAGGUUGCUGCUUUUUGCCCUAGCCACACACUUUAACAAUUUAACAUCUCUCCCAGUCAGAGAAGGAUUAUAGAUUCACAAUGAGACUGAUUCAGAUGGAAUAAAACUCUAAACAGUUUACAGUAUGUGUAAAAGUGUAUAUAGGCUUGCAAGAGAGUGGGAAAGGAGUGUAUGCAGUUAUAUAAAGAAAUAGAUAGUUUAAAAAAAUAAUGUCUUUAAAGACAUAGUAAAAGUAAAUAAAAAUAAGCCACAUAAAGAUGGAAAUCACACAGUGUCUGGAUUUUAUUGACUUUGGGAUUUUUAACUGCAGAAAGACAUUUGAUUAUAAAGGCUACUAAGUUAACCCAAUAUGUAUAUUUUAAAAGUAUCUUGACUUCAAAUUUAUGUUUAAGUAUACAUUGCUCUGGAAAAGAGGUUCCGCUUUUCUUUCUACAGAAGAUGAGAACCUAUGGAUUUCUUCCAGGCUAAUAUGGUUUGGUCAGCCAAGACCCCUGGAAAGGUCUCUGAUGACACCUUGGCCCAGAUGAUCCAACAUCCAAAAUCAGCUUCAAAGAAACUGGCUGAGAUGAUCCAUCCUCACAGACUACAGCAAAGAUAUAACUAUAAUUCUUAAUUUUCUCAGGACCCCCAUAGGAUUGCCAGCAACCCCAACCAACAGGAUGUAGUAUAAGCUAUGCCCAAACUUCCAAAAUAUUGUUUAUAAAUGUUUGUUUUUAUUUAAAGUGGGUUGAUUAUAAAUGUAAUCUCUUUCUAAAGAAGAAAAGGGUAUAUGAUAUAGAUAUGAUUGGAUAAAAGGAUAGAUUAUUGAAUCUACUGUUAAAGAGCAACAACUUGUUUAAAAUAUUUUACAUUACUAUGUAUUUUAGUUUAUUGAUAUAAAUUUAAAUUUAAUUUUGUUAUACUGCAUAUGUAUUUCUACUCUUAAGGUAUUAUGUUUGUACAACUCCUUUGACAUUAUAAUGUAUAAUUAAGAAAUACUGAUUAAUAAUGAAGUCAUCUAUGAUAAUCAAACUAAUAGUUUUUUAGAUAUACAAAGAUAUAUUUCAAUUAGGUAGGUAAUCUUCAAACACUUUAAAGACUUACAGAAUAUCGCAUUCAAAUGCUUUAAAAACUUAAACUUUCUGGAAAACAAGACACAUCUGCUCCUAGCAACACCAGUUUAAUGCAAAGAGGAAGAUGGGCAUCGAAGACACUCCAUAUGGAGUUUAUCUUCUUGGCAAAAAUAGCCAUUUGGUCAAGAGACUGUGUAGCUGAAAGUUUUUCUGUGUCCCACCCAGUCUGCAGCUGCUCAGACGUAAGUAAACACACAGAGGCUCCUAUUAAUUAAAAUAUGGCCACUAGCUCAGGCCUACCACUGACUAGCUCUUACACUUAAACUCAGCCCAUUUCUGUUAAUGUAUAUGUCAUGAUGUGUUCAUGGCUUUACCUGUGUGCCAUUACAUGCUGUUCCCUGGAUGGCAGGCUGGCAUCUCCUGACUCAGCCUUCUUUUCCCAGAAUUCGGUUAGUCUACUUGCCCUGACUACUUCCUGCCUGGCUAUUGACCAAUAGUGUUUUAUUAAAUCAGUCUACAAGGGCAUUAUCCCACAGCACUUCCCCUUUUCUGUCUAAUCAAAAAGGAAGGUUUUAACUUUAACAUAGUAAAAUUAUAUACAACAAACCAUUAUUAAGCAAGCACUACAGUUACAAUAUCUAUUCUAUUUGUAUUUGGCAAAAUUAAAGAAAGUAUCUAUCCUAUAUUUGUGAGUCUAAAGUUUUAUAUCUAAUCUAUCUUUUAUCAUAACCAAGGGAAAUUAUAACUAUCUAGUCUUCAACUACAUCAAAGACAUCAGAAGGAUACAAUAUUACAUAAGUAAAUAGAAAGAACAUUGGAAGCAACUUCCAAAAGUCUAGAAUGACAGAGAUAGCUGGCUGCUCACCCAAAGUUCUUCUGUAAUGUUGGUGCAUCUGUUUUUCAGCCCACAGGCCUAGAGUUUCUCAGAUGCUUCUCUCUGUGUCCUAUGUCUGGCAGUUUCCUCUGCAAAGCAGGAACCUGAAGGACCACCUCUCUUUGCAAAGUUCAGAAGUUCAGUGGUCACUUUCCAUGGGUCCUGCAUUUCCAGUUGACAUAACAUUUUGUCAGCAGUCCAGGCAAGAACAGUUUCUUGACCAAAUGGCUACCUUUGCCAAGAAGAAGAUAACUCCUUAUGGAUUGUCUUUGAUGCCCAUCUUUCUCUUUGAAGUAAAUUGGUGCUGCCAGGAGCAGAUAUGUCUCAUUGUCUAGAAAGUGUAAGUUUUUAAAACAUUUUAAAUGCCAUAUUCUGUAGGCCUUUGAAGUGUUUGAAGAUUACCUACCUAAUUGAAUUAUAUCUAUGUAUAACUAGAAAACUUAGCAUGACUAUAAGUUUGACUAUUGUAGCUAGAGUUUUUUUGGUUUUGCCUGGCCCAUGGUCAGGGCAAAUCUCUAUCACCCACCAGUCCUGCAGCCACUUAGGCCCAACCGAGUAAACAUACAGAGACUUAUAUUGCUUACAAAGUGUAUUGCCACAGCAGGCUUCUUGUUAUUUACUCCUUAUAUCUUAAAUUAACCCAUAUCUAUUAGGCUAUAAGUUGCCAUGUGGCUUGUGGCUUACUGGUACCUUACAUCUCACUUUUCAUAGCAGUGGCUGUUUGUGUCUCUCUAACUCAGUCUUCCUGUUCCCCAAAUUCUUUUCUCUGCUUGUCCCGCCUAUACUUCCUGCCUGGCUACUGGCCAAUCAGUGUUUUAUUUAUUAACCAAUCAAAGUAAUACAUUUAACAUACAGAACAUCCCACAGCAAACUAUCUUAGAAGACUAAUUAUUAAUCUGUAUUUCUUAAUUAUCCACUACAAUUUAAUGAGUUGCAUAAACAUAAUACCUUAAACAAGAGUGUAUAUAUACAUACAUAUAUAUAUACAUAUAUAUAAUAACAAAAUCAACUUUAAAUUUGUAUCAAUAAACUAAAAUCUAUACCAAUGUAAAACAUUUUUAAAUGAGUUGUUGCUCUUUAAAAGCAGAUUCAAUAAUCUACCCUUUUAUCCUAUAUCUAUAUCCUAUCCUCCGUUUCUUUUUUUAGAAGAUAUUGAGUAUGACCAAUAACAAUUUGUAACCAAUCUCUAACAAAGACAAAUAUCCACAGUCCAGUUUUUGGAAAUGUGAGCACAGUUAUUUAGGCUACUUCCUACUGAUAUAGGGUGCUGGUAGUCUUAGGGGGAUCCUUAGAAAAUUCAAGAUAAUGGUCCUGGGAAGACUGGCUAUAACCUUUGUUGAUAGGUACCAUCUGUUAAGAUUCAGAAGGUCUGGCUUGAUCAAAUCUGGUCCAUCUUAACCUGGAACAAAUCCAUAGCCUCUUGCUUCCUGUGGAAACAAAAACAGAGCCUCCUUUUCAAAGCAGCAUAUCCUUAGAUCCAAAUUUUGAAAUCAAAAUACCUUUAACAUAUACAUAUUGGCUUAACUCAGCAGCUUUUACAAUCAAAUGUCUUUUUGUAUUUAAAAAUCCCAAAGACAAUAUAAUCCAGACUCUAUGUGUAACUUCCAUCUUUAUGUGGCUUAUUUUUAUAUUACUUUUACUGUCUUUUCAAAAAGAAAUUAUUUUUUUAAAACUUUUUUAUUUUUAUAUAACUGUCUAUAUUCCCUUUUCUUUUUCUUUCAAGCCUAUGUUCAUUUUUACACACACAGCAAACUGUUUAGAGGUUUAUUUAAUCUGAAUCUGACUUAUUAUGAAUUUAUUGAUUUAAACUGUAGACUGAAAUGGCAGCUUUGGUUGCUGGCUCUGCCCACCUCAGCUUCCCAACAUGGCGGAACUAUGUUUACAGCCAGCUCUGGGGGAACUAAGCUCAUCACUGACUCUGUGAAGCAGUGUGUCUAUGCUUCCAUCCAGCAACGUAUAGCCCAAAUCCCUCUUUUCUGUGUAUUAGCAAAGGCUAAAUCCCCCACACAGUGUACCGUGUGGCUUGGAGAUAACUCUGUGUACCAGGGUGGGAAUCCGCCAUACUGCAUGUCAAGCCCACACACCUUGAAUCUUCCAUAGAGUAGUAACUCAAGCCUGCAGGCUGUUGCUGGCCUGAGAAACACAACUAAUAAGCUGUUUUUAGCCCCAUUUUAAAAUCUUUUUUUUUUUUUUAAAGCUUUCUCAGGUUUUAGGUGGAAACUUUUUCCCCAUGUUGGGUGCCAUUUGUUGUUGAAAGUUUUAUCCCGUGUCCCUUUUGGUCUGCAGCUGCUCAGACCCAAGUAAAUACACAGAGGCUUAUAUUAAUUAAAACUGCUUGGCCAUUAGCUCAGACCUCAGCUCAUUUCUGUAAAUGUAUAUGUGACCAUGUGUUCCAUGGCUCUACCUGUGUGCCAUUACAUGCUGAUCCCUGGACAGCAGGCUGGUGUCUCAUGACUCAGACUCCUCUUCCUAGAAUUCCUUUAGUCUGCUCACCCCACCUCUACUUCCUGCCUGGCUACUGGCCAAUCAGUGUUUUAUUAAACCAGUCUACAAGGACAUUAUCCCACAACAAAACUGCUCUUGCCUGGACUGCUGAUAAUAUGUUGUAUAAUCUGAACAUGCAGGACCCAUAGGAAAAUGAAUGCUGAAUUUGUCAAAAAAAAAAAGGUAAAAUGUUCCUUCAGGUUCCUUCUUCACAGAGGAGUCUACAGAAACAGGGAAAAAUGACUGAGUGACUAGGCCUAUAGGCUAAAAAUGGAUGUCACAAUGUUACAGAGGAACUUUGGAUGACUGUCCAUGCAACCAGUUGUCUCUGUCAUUCUAGAUUUUGGAAGUUACUUACAAUAUUCUUCCUAUUUACUUAGGUAAUAUUACAUCUUUCUGGGGUCUUUGAUGUAGUUGAAUACUAGAUAGUUAUAAUUAUAGUUUUCCUUAGUCAUGAUAAAAGAUAAAUAUUUGAAACCUCAGACUCACAAAUAUACAAUAGAUAGAAUCUUUUCUUUAAUUUUGCCAAAUACUAGCUAUUGUAACUGUAAUUCUUGAUUGAUAACUUUGUUAUAUAUAAUUUUACUAUAUUAAACUUAAAAUCUUCCAUUUUGAUUGGAUAGAAAAGGGAAGUGCUGUGGGAUAUCUUUCUGUACGUUGUGAAAAUAUGUUGUUACCAUUGUCUAGUAAAUAAGCUGCUAUGACCUAUGGCAAGGCAGCUUAGAGGCAGGCAGGAAAUCCAAGGAAAGAGACAGGAAAGAGAAAGGCAGAGUCUGGGGAGAUGGCAGCUAUUGCCAGGAGAAGCAAGAUGUGAAAGUACGGGUAAGCCACAGCCACGUGGCAACUUAUAGAUUAAUAGAAAUGAGUUAAGUUAUAAGAGCUAGCUAGCAAGAAGCCUUCCAUAGGCCAUGCAAAUGGUAAUUAAUAUUAAACCCAUGAAUGAUUAUUUUUUAAACAGCUGUGGGACUGUGGGGCCAGGCAGGACCAGAAAAACCUUCCAACUACAAGUUAUAUAUAAGGAAUGGUUCCUAUUCCUGAUUAUUUCUUGUAACUAAAUAAAUAACAAAGUUAAUUCUGACUCAUCAAGAAUAAAUUCUGAAGUUUCAGUAUGUAAGACCACACUUUCAGCAUACUGAGAGUCAUUAAGUAUGUAGAGAGGUUCCAAAAAAUUCAUUAAUACCAUCAGAAUGGCAUAUAAUUCUGAUUUUUGGACAGAAUUAAAAGGACUUUGAACUUAAAUUUUCUGAUUUGUGACCUGUCUUUCCUUUUUGGUUUGCAUCUGUAUGAAAUGUAGGGAGGGGGGCAUCCAGAUAUUGGUGUUUCCCAUACAAUGCAAGGUGGGAUCAAGUUAGCUCUCUUUAUAAGUUAAUUCUAUCACUUUUUUGGAUAUUUAUUGUUAAUCUCUUCCAAAAAUUUACUGCAAGCUCUUUGCCAAGGUUCACUUUCUUCCCAUAAUUUGUCAAUUUCAUCACUAGAUAAAGGUACUACAAUUUCUGCUUGGUCUAUUCCUGCUUGUAGCUGGAGUUUUCUCCAGUCCUGCCCAGCCCCAUGGACCCCACAACCGCUUAUAAAAUAAGCACACAGACACUUUCAUUAUUUAAACUGUUUGGCCUAAUGGCUCAGGCUUCCUGUUAGCUGUUCUUAUAUCAUAAAUUAACCCACUUCUAUUAAUUUAUACCUUGCCACAUUGCUCGUGGCUUACUGGUACUUUACAUCUUGCUUCUCAUAGCAGCGGCUGGCAGCAUCUUUCUGCCUCCACCUUCCACUUCCCAGACUUCUCCUCUCUCUUUGUCCCACAUAUACUUCCUGCCUGGCUACUGGCCAAUCAGCAUUUUAUUUAUCAAUCAAUCAAUCAUCCACAGCAGUUCCCCUUUUUCUUUUUUCAAAAAGGAAGGUUUUAACUUUAACAUAGUAAAAUUACAUAUAAUAAUUAUCAAGCAAGAAUUACAGUUACAAUAUCUAGUGUAUUUAUAAUAUCUAGUUUAUUUGUAUUUGACAAAAUUAAAGAAUAUAUCCUAUCUAUCUUAUAUUGUGAGUCUAAGGUUUCAUAUCUAACUUAUCUAUUAUCAUAACUAAGGAAAUUAUAACUAUCUAGUUUUCAACUACAAAGACCUCAGAAGGAUAUAAUAUUAUCUGAGAAAUGGGAGACAGACGUUAGCAACUUUUGGGAUUCUUGCAAGAGUAGACAGAGACAGCUGGCAUCCUGGACAGUCACCUAAUGUUCCUUUGUAAAGUCGGGGAAUCUGUCUUUAGCCCACAGGCCUAGAAUCUCUCAGUCAUUUCUCUCUGUGUCCUGUAGAAUGUCUGGCAGUUUCCUCUGUGAAGCAGGAACCUGAAGGACCAUUUUGCCAAGCAAAGUUCAGUGGUCACCUUCCUAUGGGUUCUGCAUGUCCAGUCAAUCAAGCAGUCCAGGCAAGAUCAGUUUUUUUCCUAAAUGGCUAUUUUUGCCAAGAUGAAGAUAAACUCCAUAUGGAGUGUCUUCAGUGCCCAUCCUCUUCUCUGAAGUAAAUUGGUGCUGCCAGGAGCAGACAUGUAUCAUUGUCCAGAAAGUCUAAAUUUUUAAAACAUUUCAAGUACCAUAUUCUGUAGGUCUUUGAAGUGUUUGAUUACCUACCUAAUUGAAUUAUAUCUAUGUAGACCUAGAAAACUUAACAUGACUGUAAGUUUGACUAUCAUAGAGUACUACUUUUUAAUCUGUAUUUCUUAAUUAUCCAUUACAAUCUAAAUGAGAUACAUAAACAUAAUACCUCAAACAAGAGUAGAAAUAUAUAAACAGUAUAACAAAAUCAACUCUAAAUUUGUAUCAAUAAACUAAAAUCUAUAGCAAUGUAAAACAUUUUUAAAUAUGUUGCUCUUUAAAAAUAGAUUCAAUAAGCUUCCCUUUCAUCUUAUCAUAUCUAAACUAUCCCAUUUUUUCUUUAGAAAGACAGUACAUUUAUAAUCAACCUGCUUUAAGUAAAAAUACUGGUUUUUCUCUGUUCCAUAACAGAGGGCUCUUCUGAUAUGGAACAAAAGAAUCUCUCAACUUUUUUUUUAUUUAUUUAUUUAUUUAUUUAUUUAUUUAUUUAUUUAUUUAUUUAUUAGUAAUAUGCUUGUGUUUAGAGAAGGAGUGAGCCAAUUCCAUCUCCAAAUCUAGCUUGGUAUAUUUGGGAAUCUAGACAGAGCUUCUCUUACAGUUUCCUGCUGAAGGAGGGCACUGUAUUCUUAUGGGGACAUAAAGAAAAUUUUAGGAUUAUGGAGUAGUCCAUGAGGUUGUAUUUUCUGAGCCAGUUGCCUUGAAACCAUUCUAGAUGUUGGAUCAUCUGGGCCAUGGUGUCAUCAAAGGCCUUCCAGGGUGUCUUGGCUGGUCAAACCUGAUGUAUCUUAAUCUGGAACAAAUCCAUAGCCUCUCACUUUCUGUGGAAACAAAAGCAGAGCCUCCUUUCCAAAGCAACAUAUCCUUACAUCCAAAUUUUGAAGUCAAGGUACCUUUAAAAUAUCCAUAUUUGUUUAACUCAACAGCUUUUACGAUCAAAUGUUUUCUGCAGUUAAAAAUCCCAAAGACAACACAAUCCAGAUUCUCUGUGUAAUAUCCAAUUUUACGUGGCUUAUUUUUUAUAUUGCCUUUACUGUCUCUUUAAAGACUUUAUUUUUAAAAACUAUGUAUUUCUUUGUAUAACUGUAUAUAUUCCUUUUUCUCUCUGUUCCAAACCUACGUAUAUUUUUACACACAUUGUAAAGCAUUAAAGUCUUGUUUCAUCUGAAUCUGUCUUAUUGUGUAACUAUUGCUUUAAACUGCAGCUUUCUAAGUCUCAGUCUCAAGAGAGAGACUAUUUACUAAUGCCUUAUGUAUCUUUCUGUGUCCUGCCAUCUUACUUCCAUUCUAGUGAUGGGAUUAAAGACAUGCCAUUGAUGCCUGGCUCUGUUUCCAGUGUGACCUUGAACUCACAGAGAUCCAUAUGAAUCUCGGCCUCCAGAAUAUUAGAAUUAAAGGUGUGUGCUACUACUGCCUGACCUCUAUGUUUAACAUAGUGGCUGUUUCUUUUCUUCUGAUCCCUAGAUAAGCUAUAAUGGGAUGCACAAAUAAAAUAUCACUACAAUUAUCAGUGGAUCAUCCUCCAAAGAUGGAGUGAGUGGGUGAAAGCUGUUCCAAACGCUGUCACACAGGAACAGGGACCAGAGGGCUGAAAGCAUGGGACUCAUGAUACUCAGAACUGGGUCUUUCCAUAAUGCCAAAAGUGGGUAGCUGUUCCAGGUUUGACCUGGAAGUACUACCCCCAGUAACUGCCACACCUAUCUAUGAACUGCCCCUGAGGUGGGGCUGAGACAGGAGCACUUAGACCCAAGAUCCGGAUGUGCCAGCUCUCUUGGUUCCUUGUGAUCCUGGAUGCUGGGUGGUAGACCGAGCAGAAUUCUCCAGAGAACACCACUGUACUGCACUUCAUCUCUCCCAGAUCCUAUAACCAACCCUUUUACUGGCUUUAAGUUCCCAAAAUAAACCUUUUUAACUAUG